UACGUAGGUGGCAAGCGUUGUUCGGAUUCACUGGGCGUACAGGGUGUGUAGGCGGUUUGGUAAGCCUUCUGUUAAAGCUUCGGGCCCAACCCGGAAAGCGCAGAGGGUACUGCCAGGCUAGAGGACGGGAGAGGAGCGCGGAAUUCCCGGUGUAGCGGUGAAAUGCGUAGAGAUCGGGAGGAAGGCCGGUGGCGAAGGCGGCGCUCUGGAACGUUACUGACGCUGAGACACGAAAGCGUGGGGAGCAAACAGG
rnacentral:rRNA from 1 species